rnacentral:rRNA from 1 species
UACGUAGGGUGCAAGCGUUGCCCGGAAUUAUUGGGCGUAAAGAGCUCGUAGGCGGUUUGUCGCGUCUGCUGUGAAAACUCGGGGCUUAACCCCGGGCCUGCAGUGGGUACGGGCAGACUAGAGUGCGGUAGGGGAGACUGGAAUUCCUGGUGUAGCGGUGAAAUGCGCAGAUAUCAGGAGGAACACCGGUGGCGAAGGCGGGUCUCUGGGCCGUAACUGACGCUGAGGAGCGAAAGCGUGGGGAGCGAACAGG